CCCAGUGUGGUUUAGUGGUUUGAACAUUGGACUAUGACUCUGGAGAUCAGGGCUCGAUUCUCUGCUCAGCCA